UGCUAGUUGGGAUAGCUCAGUCAGCAGAGAAUGAGACUCAAAAUCCUUAGGGUCCUGUGUUCGAGUCCCAUGUUGGGCAA